rnacentral:rRNA from 1 species
CAGCCGCCGCGGGAAUACGGAGGGUGCAAGCGUUACUCGGAAUCACUGGGCGUAAAGGACGCGUAGGCGGAUUAUCAAGUCUCUUGUGAAAUCUAACGGCUUAACCGUUAAACUGCUUGGGAAACUGAUAAUCUAGAGUAAGGGAGAGGCAGAUGGAAUUCUUGGUGUAGGGGUAAAAUCCGUAGAUAUCAAGAAGAAUACCUAUUGCGAAGGCGAUCUGCUGGAACUUAACUGACGCUAAUGCGUGAAAGCGUGGGGAGCAAACAGGUUUAGAUACCCCAGUAGUCCCUGUCUCUUAUAC